rnacentral:rRNA from 1 species
AGAUGUCGAUUCGUAGGUGACCUGCGGAGGAUCAUUA